rnacentral:rRNA from 1 species
UACGUAGGGUGCAAGCGUUGUCCGGAAUUAUUGGGCGCAAAGAGCUCGUAGGCGGUCUGUCACGUCGGCUGUGAAAACCCGAGGCUCAACCUCGGGCCUGCAGUCGAUACGGGCAGACUAGAGUUCGGUAGGGGAGACUGGAAUUCCUGGUGUAGCGGUGAAAUGCGCAGAUAUCAGGAGGAACACCGGUGGCGAAGGCGGGUCUCUGGGCCGAAACUGACGCUGAGGAGCGAAAGCGUGGGGAGCGAACAGG